rnacentral:rRNA from 1 species
CGCGUAGGCGGACUGGCAAGUCAGAUGUGAAAUACAGGGGCUCAACCCCUGAACUGCAUUUGAAACUGUUGGUCUUGAGUAUCGGAGAGGCAAGCGGAAUUCCUAGUGUAGCGGUGAAAUGCGUAGAUAUUAGGAGGAACACCAGUGGCGAAGGCGGCUUGCUGGACGACAACUGACGCUGAGGCGCGAAAGCGUGGGGAGCAAACAG